UUUUGCUGUACCAUGUCACCCUGCAGCCCAAGACCGGUUACUCACUGAAGCUAAGCAGGGCUGAGCCUGGAGAGUACCUGGAUGGGAGAUCACUAGGGAACACUAGGUUGCUGUUGGAA
rfam:Danio rerio chromosome 14, GRCz11 reference primary assembly.